AGGGAGACUGGUAUAUUCAUGGCUAGGAACAGACAAAAAGACCCAACGUCCGUGGACAGAUUGUGGUGUACGAGUUUCUCAAGCAUGCUGAUCGCAUUUAUGCCUUGAGCUUGCAGCAGAGACACUUGUAUGAGGAAGCUAGUCCGCCCUACAGGGUCUCCAACAGCCAAUCAAACAGGCUGGAAAGAGACCGGCCCUCCUCUUCCUCUUUCUCGUGUAGUUUACAGAACUGAACCACAGCGCUGAACAAGUCCGCAAUCCGCCACGCCUUCUGAGACAUCAGAUGGACUACCCUCUGGAACUCUGUGCCUACCUUCACAACCCUCUUCUCUUUGGACUUCCUGAAGUAGAGAGCAGGAAGGCCCAGCUCGGAGGCGGCAAUCCACUGUAGGGCCACUCUCAGCUCCGAGUCCACGCACUCAGGCUCAAGGUCGCAGUUUACCACCAACAACACCUUGAGGUUGCUGCUGCCGCCUGUUGUCCUCGCUGAACUGCUCUCUGAAAAAUCAAAAGUGACGGGACAUAUUGUAGUAGGAGGUUGUCCAUAAUUUCAUUCUCUAUACUUGCUCGGACAUGAAAAGCCAAUGUGCCAAACCUUUUGCACGCAAUCAUACAGUAUGUUAAACUUCAAAUAGAAAUAUCCAGGGCUCA